AGAAGUGGCCUGAGGCCUCCUGGAGCCCAGGCUAAUGCCCUGUACAGUCAGAUAGAAGCACAGGAACUGUGCUGCAGCCUUGUGGUAACCAAAGUACCCCAUGCACCCAACUCAAGGAGGGGCUUCCUGUGAUGCAGGAUCCUUAUCAGCUCUUGCCUUCUUCACUGGUAAGAGGAUAUGAUUAGUUCUUAACAAAGCAAUAGUAAAUCCUCUGAUCUCUGUGGCUGCACUUGGAGAAGUGUGGAGUAGAAGGGCUGCAUUUGUUCUGUACCUAUCUGUAUUGUUGCAUCAAAAGCCACCCAUGGAAAGGAUGUGAGCAUGUUUGGGAUAUUUUGACUACGCUGUUCUGCUUCAUAUGACAGAGGUAGAAGCAAACAGUAGUCAAUACAGGUAGCUGCAGGAAGCAGGGUGAUCUUUUAUCUCCACAGAAGAAAAUUGAAAGCUCCAGCUGAGUAAAAUGAUGAGGAAAUGGAAACAGAAUUGCUGGGUGAGACAAAUCCAGGAAUAAAGAGGCACAUUUCAAGAUUAAAUACAAACUAUAGUUUAAGAAAAUGCUUUGGAAAAGUCUGUUUUAAAAUACGAAGAACAGUGUGAGUCCAGCUUAAAUUUGUAAAAGGGUUUUGUGUUGCAGGAGAUUUGUCCAUAAAUUCCAUACAGACUUGCACUAAACUUCAUACUUGCCAACAUAUCUUCUUAUAUUUGUACCUUGGUUUUAGCAACUGAAUCCACAACUGCUCAUGUUAGCAGUCUUCUAUGCCUUGCAAAAAGAGUUAAUGCAAUUUUCUUAAGCUGGAAAAUGAUCUGAUGUAUUUAGGAAAAGCCCAUGGAUUAUUUUUUUUCAGCCUAAAAUGUCAUUGCUUACAUCUGAAUUCAAAUUAACCUCUGAGCAUUGAUGGUUUAACAUCUAUUUUCCUCUUUUGCUUUGACUCCAUAGGAGCAUACAAGGAUACAGGUGUGAGG
rnacentral:lncRNA from 1 species